UAGCUACGGCUCUAGAAAGGAGAAGGAGGUGCUAACUGACAACCGACGCUCUGGCAACCGCCGUAGAACUCUGUGGUGGCGUUGGCGUCCGCGAGCUCUGGACUCGCUUGCCAUUCCUGUGAGGGCAGUUGGGCCCUUUCCGGCAGAGAAUUCUUCCUGCUUGGGUGGUGAAGAACUUGUGGGGGGCUGCCUAGACUCAGUUGCCUUCAUGGGGCACCUAAGCGGUUUUGUUUUUUUCCCUCCCCCACCAACAGGAGGCUAGCCCAUAAUGGGCAUUAUGAUUAAGAGAAGAAAACAUGAUUUUUGUACCAAUUGAAAAUGCUGUACUUACGGGUCCCGAGUGUGGUGCUAAAAUUGUUACAAGACUACUUAAAAUGUCCCCCGAUUCUGAAAAAGAUUGCUUGAGAAAUUUUCUGUCAGCCAUGAAGCAUUUACUCCUUCUGAAAGUUUAACAUAAGCUAUAUCUGUCCCAUUCCUAUUGGAUAGUUUUUAUCGUGUUUUCAAACAUCCGACUACUUAAGGAUUUUUUUUUUUUUAAGUAUGGCCUGGUUAUGGAAAUCUGUAUAUGCAAGGUAGUUUUCCACAGAUUUGGGACUGCAUUUGUUACUUAAUAUGUAACCCCCACUCUUAGUACACACUGUCUUUUGAUCAAAGUGUUUGUGUAAUAAUUGACACAGACAGUAAACUAGGUCUCUCUGUUCCUAUUUCACUUACAUCCUGUUCUCACCCCACCUUUAACUAAUAUAAUUAAUAAAAGCUGAACCCGAUGAGGCUAGAAAUGUUGUUGGAGUUGUGAUAUUAUGUUGAAAUAUCCAAAUUUGAAAUUUCACCUAAAUUUAGGGUGUUAUUAGGAAUUUGAUUUCCUCACUUAUAAUUCAGGCAUUGACCACAGCGGGUCUAGAAUUCCAUUAAAUUGAC
rnacentral:lncRNA from 1 species